rnacentral:rRNA from 1 species
ACGGGGAGCACCACAACGGGUGGAGCUUGCGGUUUAAUUGGAUUCAACGCCGGAAAUCUUACCGGGACCGACAGCAAUAUGAAGGCCAGGCUGAAGACUUUGCCGGAUUAGCUGAGAGGUGGUGCAUGGCCGUCGUCAGUUCGUACUGUGAAGCAUCCUGUUAAGUCAGGCAACGAGCGAGACCCACGCCCACAGUUGCCAGCGUACUCUCUGGAGUGACGGGUACACUGUGGGACCGCCGCUGCUAAAGCGGAGGAAGGAAUGGGCAACGGUAGGUCAGUAUGCCCCGAAUAUCCCGGGCUACACGCGAGCUACAAUGGUUGGUACAAUGGGUAUCUACCCCGAAAGGGGACGGGAAUCUCCUAAAACCAAUCUUAGUUCGGAUUGAGGGCUGCAACUCGCCCUCAUGAAGCUGGAAUCCGUAGUAAUCGCGUUUCAACAGAACGCGGUGAAUACGUCCCUGCUCCUU